rnacentral:rRNA from 1 species
UACGUAGGUGGCAAGCGUUGCCCGGAUUUAUUGGGUUUAAAGGGUGCGUAGGCGGCUUGCUAAGUCAGUGGUGAAAGCCGAUCGCUUAACGAUCGAACUGCCAUUGAUACUACCAGGCUUGAGUACAGAUGAGGUAGGCGGAACUGACAGUGUAGCGGUGAAAUGCAUAGAUAUUGUCAAGAACACCAAUUGCGAAGGCAGCUUACUAAGUUAUAACUGACGCUGAGGCACGAAAGUGCGGGGAGCAAACAGG